GUGGGUGUCAUCAAAGCUGUGGACAAGAAG
rnacentral:piRNA from 2 species